rnacentral:lncRNA from 1 species
UUUUUGCCUAAGUCAUUUUUCAGUAGGGUGUCGAUCGAUCUGCUGAAUGUGUGGAUCGAUCCACUGUGUGCACAGUCAUGUGACCGAGAGCCCUUGAACGAUGUGUGGAUCGAUCCACCAAGAUCGAUACCAUUUGACUCCAACACUUAGAAAUUUUUUUGUGAAAAGUUUCCUGCAGUUGCACAAGUUUGUUCCUUCACCGAGAGCUCUUGAACGAUGUGUGGAUCGAUCCACCAAGAUCGAUACCACUUAUGCAUUUGUGUCAAAUUCCAUUUCUGCCCUCAUCUGGUUCAACUCCUUUGGUUUAAUGAAUCAGGGGUAUUUUCGUAAUUUUUUAUAUUAAAAAAAUAAAUAAAUAAAUAAAUAAAGGAAAAGAAAUGUCAAAAACCCCAAAUCUGGUUACUCUCGUCUCAUUCUUUCCGGGCCCUAGGGUUUUCGUUCCAGAGAAGAACCCUUCGUCUCUUCUAUUCGCCGUCAUUUGGUUCGUUCCGGCCGUUGUCACCGGAAAUCUUCGCCGUGCACAGCUCUCAUUCUCAUUUCUGUCUGUUGUCGGCAUUUCGGUGUACUGUUAGCUCAUCUUGUCUCAUUGUUUUUCUCUCUGUUUGUCGCCUGUUUGUCGCUGGACUGCAACUCCAUUUCCAUUAGUCGGCAUUCGUUCCAGUUUUUCUUGUGGUAUCACUGAUCUGAUAUCUUCCCCGUCAAAGGAUUGCUGAUCUGGUAGCCCUUGGUCUGGUCGUCACAGCUUUUCUCGUGUGUACAGGUUGGUUUUUCUUCCAUUGGUGUUGUUGGUUAGUUUUUGUGUGAGAUUUUCUCAUAGUAGGCUAUUUGAGUGGAUUAUUUGGGAAAUAUGCCUCCAAAAUGUCGUAAAAGCAAAGCCCCUGUUAAAGGGUCAUCCUCUAGAACCUCAAAAGGAGCUCGAGAUGAAAAUUUAUCCAUCAUUCCUUCUAUCCAGCCUCCCAGUAUCCCCAAGGCUCCUGCAAAAACUUCAAUUGAUGGGAUUCCCUUCAAUGCUUUCCCGGCAAAAUUAUGUAGAGACCAGUACACUAAGGUUUAUCGUCAGAGGUCUCUUGUUCUUGAGAGACAACUUCAUUUAGAAUCCUUUCUCGACACACCAAUUCCAAACCUGUUUGUAGAAUUAGGAUGGCUUCCUCUAGCAAACUUCACUGGGUCUGCUUGUGCUCCUAUUGUCCGAAUGUUUUAUUCGAACAUUAUUGAGCAUGACUUGGAUCAGUCCUACCUCCAGUCAAGUCUUUUUGGAAUUGUUGUUAAAGUCACCCCUAAGAUAAUUGCUGAAGUCUUAGGCAUCCCGUUGGUUCAAGCACCCUUUGUGAGUGAUUUGGAAAUCACAUCUGACCUGUUGGAUAGAGUGUCUAUUGACUUAUGGGGAGAGGUCCGAGGUCAGCUAGGCUCAGGGGUGCACACUGGUAGUCUAUCUCGUCCUGCUUGGGUGUUAGCUACUUUUCUAUCAUUCUCAGUUUAUCCCUCCUCUCAUCGGGCAAACAUUUGUAAGAAUGGUUGUAUUCUCUUGUCUCGUAUCCUUCAUCGGGAACCCAUCAAUCUAGCAUCUUGCAUUUUAGAUGAGAUGAUUUUUCGAGGUGAUCCUAUAGUGUCUAAGAAGGAGGUCCUUCCCUUUGGCAUUUUGAUCACACAAAUCUGCCAAAGGGCUGGAGUUGUAUUUCCUGUCAAUUCUCCUUUUCUUAUGCCAAUGGGUCCCAUUGAUACCUCCUCUUGGAAUCGACGUCAAGGACAGAUUAAGGGUGCUCUUGGUUCUAAGAAGAAGGUGUGCCAUAGUAGAGCCAAGAGAAAAUUUGGUGAAAGUGACGCUGAUUCAGAUGUAGAUUCCACUGUCCUAGCUGAACUUUGUGCUAGGUUUGAUGCUUUGGAUGAAAAGAUUUCUGCUCAAUCCACCUUAUUGUCUGAGCAGAUUUCUCAACUUCAAUCUUAUAUGGAGAGAGGUUUCUCUCUAAUUGAUGGACAAAUGCUUUGCAACAUGGAUCAGCUGCACGCUCUUGAAGAUUUUGUCCAUAAGCAUCUCUCUUAGCCAAGUAGCAGCUAGUUAUUAUUUUUUGGACAGCCCCUUGUCUUGUGUAAUUUGCUUAUCAUGUUCAUUUUGAUCGACUUAUGUACAUGGCUUAUUUUGGACAACUCUUUGUCUCAUUCUGGGACAAAAAGGGGGAGACAUUUUACACUUGACAUGUAGUUGAUCAUGACAUUGUGUUUUGUGCUUUGGAUAUUUGAUAUGUUGAUCAUGAUCAUAUUGUUUUGUAUUUGUGGAUAUUGGACAUGGUUAUUUUGACUCAUGAAUGCAUAUUAACUAUCUUUAGGCAAAUGAUAUUUGUGGAUAUCUAUGUGUUAAUUUAUUCAAAUCUUGUGGAAGUGCCUUGGAAUAUGUACAGGUGCUACUAAUGCCUUUCUUGAGAUUUAUUUGCAGGUAUUUUAGUACUUAGGUUGUGGCUUUGAGUGAGUGAGGAGUCUUGUAUGAGAGUUGGGUGGGGCUUACUUACUUGUACUCAUUCGUGUUGUAAAGGGUUUUGUCCCAGAAUUGCCAAAGGGGGAGAUUGUGAGUGUUUAGCUAGGUUGGCAAUUCCGGACAAAAUUCCUAAGUGUCCCCUAACUCGGCUUUCCUAUUCCUAUUCGGACUACUUGACUUUGAAGACUAAGACUUUGCUAAGAAGCCGAGGUAUGUAGUCGAGUGUGGAGUGAUUGAGUGUGAAUCAACCCGGUUUUUAAUCUUUAAAUGGGUUAGAAAGUUGGGAAAAAUGGUUUUUGGUGCAAGGAUUUCAUUCCUCUGUUUCUGGAUCGAUCCAAGUGUAGGGGUGGAUCUAUCCAACUAAUGUUUUUUUGAUCAAAUCUCAGCCAUUAGAUUAAGGGUUUCUUUUUACACUUUAAAACCCAAUCUUCUCUCAUUUUCUGAGAAGAGAGACUGCUGAAAACGUGGGGAGAGCAGCCACACUCCCAAGUGUUCUUCAUUUCUCAUUUUUGCUUUCCUAAGUUGGGUUUUUUGAUUGCAAAGAAAAUCCACUUCUCUUAAUGUUUUCAAAACUAGUUUUCAAUGGAUUUUCUUGAGCAAUAAAUGGGUUGAUCAUUCUUUCAUUCACAUCUAAAUCUCUCAUUCUAUUUGGGUUGUGCAAAAACCCAUUUUCUUCUUGUGUGGAUUCAAGAAGAGGCCGAGAUUGAGCUUGGUGCGGACUCCAAGUGUGCUCCAAAAAGAGAAGCUGAAAAUGAAGGUACUAGUCAAGUAUUCCGGGAAGGAUUGGUUGGCUUGAGCUAGGUAAAACCUUGUACUCAGUUUUUUAUUCUUCAUAGUGGAGUUUUCAAUCGGUGAUAGGCCCGUGGUUUUUUAUCUCUUCGGAGGUUUUCCACGUUAAAAAUCUGGUGUUCAUUGUUUCUUUCUCUCACUCUAUGUUUUGUUUUAUUUUUGAGGAGUGUUGAAGCAUUUGCAUGUAUUUUGCAUUUAUAAAUUGUUGGGGGAGUAUUGAUGCAUACAUUAUUGCUUGUGGAUGUUUUGCUUUGUUGAAAAGUUAUUAGAAGAAAAAAAAAAAUUCUUGACAUUAAGAUAGUCUAAGGUUAGGUAAUCUUUGUUGGAAGGAUUUUUUAAAUUGUUCUACAACACCUAUUCACCCCCCUCUAGGUGUAGUUCAUUAUUGAGAUUCACAUUUUCACUUAUUUUCAUGAAUGUUCAUAUAGUUUUGAACAUGGGGCUUGCUUAUAGGAAAGACAUGUAACGACAUAGUAUAAUGCAGUCCUCAUUAAGUUUUCUUUAAGAUAAAGUAAAAUCCUUGUGAUCCUGCGCCACCAAUGAAGCUAAAUUAUACAAGUUAGUUUUGGAGCUUAAACUCACAUGCAACUCUAUAUUUAAAUCAUUAAAAAUGAAACUAAUCCCGAUUAAUAUAAAUAUCUAAAACAUGCAGUAGUUUAAUUAGAUCAACUGUCACGUAGCCGUAUGGUUCCGUGUACCCUCUCUCAAUAUAUUGUCCCAAGUCAAAAACUUUGAUUGAAGCUCCAUGUGGGUGAUCAUCAUCUCCUCUUCCCUUCAUUAAUUUGUUGUCUAGGUCUUGUUUACAAGUGACAAGGCUCCGAAUUUUUCUCUUUGUGCUCUCACUUAUAAAUUAUUAUGUCUAAUGCAUACAUUUUUUUUGGGGGGUAAGAAUGGAUGAACCAAAUCAAGACUAAUGGAUUUUUGUUUAAAAAUGAAAUCUUAUUUGGUCGGUUCAUCCUUGGAAUCGCAUCAUAUUUUGAAUCCAAUGAAAUAAGAUGAAUUAAAGUGAUAUUUUAUAAAUAUAUGAUUAUUUUGAAUAUAUUAACCAUUUCUUUAUUUUUCGGUGAACUAAAAGGAAUCGAAAACUUUGUUCUUUCUUUAAUAAUUUCUUAUCCGAAAACUAAUCCUUUUUAGUAGGAUUUGAACCCAUUCACAGAACCCUAAAAAUGUUUAAAUACCUAGCUAUCUAGGUAUGGACCAACACAAAAAGACAAAUUUAAUUACUGGGAAUUUUUCCUACAAACCAUACAAUACAAAAAGGAAGGACAUUUAAAUGAAAGAAAAGAUUGAACAUAAUAACACAAAGCUUACUUUGGAUUGCAUUAGGGUUCCGUAAAUUUUCCUUUUGUACAUGUAUAUUUAAUUAUGAACUGUUAUACUUCAAACCCGAUCUUAUAAUUAUUAUUCAAAUUAAGCAAAAUACUUACAUAAUUCUGGGAUUUUUCAGCAAAUCCUCAGUCUAAACAGUCAGCAAAUAGUUCUUAUUGCACCCAAUUGAUCGAUCUAAGGAGAGACCAAUCUCAUCUCCUAGCUUGAGAAAGGAGAACGCCAUUACACUAAAGGUUAUAGAUAUAUACUUAUAAAUAUAUAUGAGUGAACUAUUGAUAAUGGAUGAUCUUCUCCAUCAAUCAAUUUUGUUGUACUCCUUUAUGUUUCUUCUUGUUCGUGUUCUUCAUUUUAUGCCUUGUCAGACACUUCCCCAGUAUCUCCUGAAAAUCUUCCUCCUCACAAGGAAUUUGCAGUCCACCUUCUUGCUUGAACUCGAAUUCAUCGGCCAUUCGCUCCAUCAAAGCCCUAAAGUCAGGCAUGGACAAGUAGCUGGUAGGGAUUACAAACCGCCUUAGUUCCGGCCCAACGUACACUGCCAAGAACCCUCUGGGGACCUCCUUUAGGUUCCAUUGACACAAGUACUGGCUGGCCAGCAAUGACUCCCUCGAGUUCUCGGUCGAAUGAUCUUGAAAACCCUCCUUCAGUGGCAAUGCCGGAGGCCUACGCUGCUGCUGCGGCGCCCACCAUAGCCAUAGCCGGAGAAUCUUCUUCGACCUCAUAACCAUGGCAGAGUUUCAAAAACUAUCUAUCUGUAUAUAUGUAUAUGGAAAUAUUGAUGUUAUUGGAGACCUCUGCAUGCAAUUAUACAACAUGCACAAGGUUCAUCUAAAACCCUAAAAGAAUGAGAAAUUAAACUUAGAAACCAUUGAUUUCAUGCAAACCCCAUAUAACAAAAUGAAGAAAAACCAGCGCUAUCAUCAUGAUAAUGAAUACGUUUUUCUUCUAAACUCUUGAAAACCCGAAAAAAACGAUGAACUCAAGCACUUCGACUGCAUCAUGUAGUGCACAAAGAACAGGGUUUAAGAAUUUUUUUUCUCUCUUCUUUCUCUACCAAAGAAGAAUGAAUAUCUUGAAGAGCAUGGCAGCUAUCUUUGUGGGAUUUAAGUUGUAUAGAACAAUAUAUAUAGGAAAUUAUAUUGGGUUGUCCACCUAAUUUUGGCUUCUGAUGCCCUAAAUUUAGCUGCAGUUGCACCAAAAAAUGGCUAAUUUUGUUAUGUGAUAGUGCUUCUAAUGGAGUUUCAUAAAUCCUACCAAUGAUUUGAUCAUAUUUUAUGGAAUUUGGAUUAGAUUAAAGCCAGUUAGAAGCAAUUAUUCUUGGGAGUCUGAUCAGUUUGCUAGGGGUGUAAUCUCAGUUAAGGGUUUUCAACAUUUGUUUUUUCUUUUAGUUUGUAGUUUUUUGUUGUGUUGAGAUUAUAAAGCUGGCUAAAGAUGAUUACUAAAGAGGCUAAUUGGGUGGAUUUGAGGUAUGGGAGAUGAUUACUAUGGUGUGGUCACAAAAUAACUAAUCUAUGUUUCUCUAUCAACUUUGAAGAUAUCUAAUUUUGUACAAUGAAACCCAGCCCGUGGCCAGCCUAGUUGUCAUGUGCUAGUGUCUUUUGGAUGGAUUAUAAAUAACCCGAAUGUUCAAGUUAUUCAUUACAUGAUAAACUUAAGUUGUUAGAUAAUAGACUGAUAUAUAUAAACCUCUCAUUUAGAAUGUACUUAACUUUUAAGUCUAAUGAUAGAAAAAAUCAUAUUUAAUUUGUAUUUAAAAAUAUUUUUAUUAAACAAAAUAAUUAUAAUAUUUUUAAAAUUUUAAUUAAAUAAAAAUCUGUCCAUUAGUAAAGAAAAUAUUUAAGUUCCAUUUUUUUUUUUGGACAAAACACAAAUAAAUCAUGUUCAUAAAUGUGGGGCCCAUAAUUAAUAGUUGUCGAAUGCCCUUAAAAAUUGUGUUUAACUUUCAAAUAUUGCCUUUAACGUUUUUGAAGUUAAAUGUAUGUAAAUAGGUUUAUAAAACCAAAGGUUCAACUUUUUUAAUGGGCCAUUUGGGCCACAUUAAUUUCAUAGCAUGACAAAAACUUGGGCUUUGAAUUGGGCCAAGUCCUUUCCCAAGUGGAUUUUAGGCUAAAAGCCACACAAUAAUACAAAAGAAGUGACAACAUUAUUACUCUUUGUUUUUAUUUUUGUCACACCAAAUAAACAAUUGAAACUUCUACAUCCCAAUAAUACAAAGUUGCCUUCCAAAAUACUUGGACCAAGAUAGCUGAUAAAAACAUAUGGUUAUCAUGUGUUGAUGAACCUUCAUAGACUUCAACGUCCAUGAAUUUAUUUAUUUAUUUAUUUUUUAAAAAGUUCCAUAUGGGGUAAUUAUUAUAUUAUCUCGGGAAAAAAAAAAUUCUUUAUAAGUUAUUUAAUUUUCACUUUUAGUAUUGUAAAAUGUAGAAGUAAAUAUUUUUAUAUUUUUUUUUAUUAAAAAUAAGAAUAAUUUUGAUAUUUUUAAAAUUUUAAUUGCAUUAAAAUUUGUUUUCUAGAUAAUUUUUUAGCAAAAAUAUGAUCAAACAAAGGUAAGGAUCAUGCUUAAGAAUUCCAUCAAAACAUUCGAAAGAUUGCUUUUAGUGUUAAAGAAACCCUCAAAAUGGAGUUAACAUUUUCAAAAAAGGGUAUAAAAAUGGAUGAAUUAAGAUUCACAAAGUAAAGGGAUUCAAUAUAAUGUUGAGGGUCAUAUCAUAAAAUUGAUGACAUUUAUUCAUGAUAAAGAGUUGUUUGUCCUACUUCUUUUGGACACAUAAGAAAUGUGGAAUAUCUAUGGACUACUAUAGGCUUGCGUAUAUAUAUUUGGAAGGUUAUUGAUUUGAUUAAAAAACAUAAGGGAAUGUUUGGAAGGUUUUUGAAAAUAAUUUUUAAAAAUAUAUUUUUUAAAUUAUUUUUAGGAAUAAAAUUUUCUUUAGGAACCCAAAUAUAUAUAUAUAUAUAUAUUAAAAAAAAAUCUCAGCUUAACCUUAUAUUGAUUAGAUCCGAGAUCAUGGAAUUGGAAUGUUUUUAAAGUAUUCUUUAUAUUUCCAAUAAUUUUAUGAUAUGAAAGAUAUUAAGUUGUUUUUGAGAAUAGUUUCUAAAUAAACUUUGAAUUAUUAGAUACUAGCCUAUCGGUUGUAUGUGUUUUUAGAAAACACUUUUAACUUAAAAAAGAUAUAAUUCAAAGAAAAAUUAAGUGUUUGAUAAAAUUUUAAAAAUACUUUUAAAAUUUUGAAAAAUCAUUUAUAAUUUUAAAAAACUAUUUAUUGUAUAUUUAAUACAGAAAUAUUGGAUAAAUGAUUAUUUUAAAUAUACUUUUAUUAAAAAUAGUUUGAAUAGAAACACUAUCAAAUGUAAUAUCUCAUAAACAUCCCAUAUCAGUCCAUAAAGAAUUUAUGGAUAAUGAAAAUCCGAUACUUUGAAUUAACUGAAGUUAUGCUAUAGAUUGAUUAAAAAAAACUUUAAAAAAUCAAGUAAAGGGACCACGAUGAUUAAGAUGAAUUUUACACCAUUCGAUUUCUAUUUUCAUGGCAUAACCAAAAGAUAAUGAAGACAUGGUUGAUUAAGCAGGUAAAGUAAUACUGCUCUUAAAUCAUGCUUUAAUCUAUUGAUUCUUCAAUUUGAAACAAUAAAAUUGACAACCAUGUCAAAGGAACACAAUCAUACAAUGCAAAAGUGAAGAAAGAUUGCCUUCAAUCAAGGAUAAUAUGAACCCCACUUGGUCCAUGGAAUCCAAUCUCACUACCUUAAUUUGAUGGCCCCCCAAACAUGGCAUGGAGUCCCAUAUCUUACAUUGUACUUUCUUUAAAAAAAAAAUUUAUUUGGCCCCAAACAUGGAAUUUUUUUCUUUUCUUUUUUUGGCCCUUCAGACAUAGUACUUUUGUCCCAAAUUUGUACAAAACUGCAGCGUACGGUAGCUUGAAUUUUUCAGUACUCUUCUUGAAUCUUAUACAUGUUUUGUCCCUUUGUUUUAUCUCGGAAAUUUUAAAAAAGAAAAAGAAAAUUCAUGAAUAUGAAGAAGAACAAUUACAGAAAGCAAAGAGACAAACAACAAAAGAUUAAUUGUAGACCAACAUGAAUGAAUGAUGAAAGCGACUUUUCCCUCAAAGCUUGAAGACCCAGUCAUGGUCUCUUUCCUCUAAAUUAGUUUAAUUACCACUGUGUAAUUAUUACUGUCAUGUGAUUGAAUUUAAAAGUGUUUUUAUUAAAGACAAAAAUAAUUUUAAUAAUUUUAAGAUUUUUAUUUAAUUAAUAAAAUUCAGCUUUCUAUGUAGUCUUUUAAAGUGAUUCUUCCUAUUUAGAGAAUCUUCCUAUUUAUACAUACAUAUCAUCUUUUUCUUUCUUCAACCUUGGUCCUAAAUUCCUAAUCAUUCUAGUGAACUCUAUAACCUUUUUUUUCUUUCUCUCUGCAACUUCCAUGGCAACCUCCGUUAACAUCAAUCAAAUUGUAAGGCUGAAACAGGUGAUGAAGAGGUGGAAGACAAUGAGCAUGAAGCUCAGACAUGCACCCUCUCCAGAUGCCACUGACAGUGAGACUGACACCGAUAUUGAGGCUUGUAAGCCCCGCACUCCCUCAGGCUUCCUUGCCAUCUACGUUGGAUCGGAGCGGGAAAGGUUCUUGAUACCAACUAGGUAUGUGAAUCUUCCAGUGUUUGUCACCCUCUUGAAGAGAGCAGAGGAGGAGUAUGGAUUCAAGUUCAGUGGAGGGAUAGUGGUGCCUUGUGAAGUAGGGUUCUUUAGGAAAGUGUUGGAGUUUCUUGAGAAAGAUGAGAAGAAGUUUGGGAGCUUGGAGCUGGAUGAGUUCUUGAAGAUAUUUUCUGAAGUGGGUUUUGAUUCUUCAUGCAAGGCAAGUAGCUACAACAUUAAUACUUGUCAUGAUCAGUUCACACAUCUGAUGCACAAGGCCAGCUAGGGUUUGAUGUAUGGUUUGUAAUUCUCUGGGGUUGCUUUGAUGCUUGCAUGGUGGUCAGCUAGAGUUUUCUUCCAUUUUCAUCCGUUGUAGAAUUAGGGUUUGUAACUUGGAGGAUUUUCCUCUCCUUUCCUUUCCUUUCUUUUCUUUUGCUCCAAACUUGGGAAGCUACUAGAGCUAGGGUUUAGGGAGAUGGAUGUUAGAUUGUGGGUGGUUUGGAGAAAUGAUUGUGUUUGAAGAAUGUUAGUGACCAUGAUCAUGAAAUUAUUUGAAAAAAGUAAGGGACUGAUGAUGGGGUUAAGAGCCUAAUUAUGAUGUUUUUUGUGAAGUUAGUGGAAAAGUGUAUACAAAUUUUCAUUCUAAGCUUUCUCUUUAAUGAUUUUGUCCAUCACAAAGUAUGAUAAAAGUUAAUUAAAUAAUAAUAUUAUUAUCUUCAUAAUCUAUAUUUUUAUGUUUUUGAGGAAAUGGGCAUGCUCAAACAGAAUGAUUGGUUUGAAAUAAUGACCACCUUCAAUGCCAACCAUACUGAAUAUUUCAUUGAGACCAUCAUCUCCUUUGAAUUCUUUAGGUUCUUAACUUCUAGGGUUUAUCUCCACUAAUUGGAAUCCAAUUUUAAAACAAGAAUGCUAGGUUUUCCAAAAAAUCAAUUUUGAUCGAGGGAGUCUUUGAAAUGAUUCAAUCUUGCACUUUUUCUUUUACUUUGUGUAUAAAGAAAGAGAAUAUUAAUAUAAAGAGAAAUGCUAAAAAGGUGUUCCAAAGUACAGGAAAUAAACAAAAGACACCUAAAAGUAUCACAAAAAAUAGAGAGGGACAACAAAAAACAACACUCCCUCACAAGAUCCCAACCUACUGUGGAUAAGAGAUUUAGAGUAAUAAAAUAUUUAGACCAUACUCAAAUAUUACAAAGAAAAGAAUGUUUAAACCCUUGAACAAAAUUUUCUUUAUUUUCAAAUGAUCAAUUAUUUCUUUUCCUUCCUAGUUGUUUGAAAAAGGUAUAAAGGAAUAACACACCACACCUAUUUCCUUUUUUUUUUUUUUUUUUAAUUCCUACAAAAGAGUCAUGCUAACCUAAAAGUAUCUCUAUGACAAAAAAGGGAAGCAUUAAACAAAGAAAACAAUAAAUAACAUAAAACCCUUAUCUUAACACAUUGAAUGGCGAUGUGGCUAAUUUUUUUUUCUUCAUAUGACAAAGAAAACAUCUAUUCACUAAAAACCAUCAUCUCCUUCGAAAAUGAUUAGAGUUAAAAUUUUAUUCCACCUACCCUCCCUUGCAAAGAAGUCUAUCUUCAAUGGCACCCAAGAGUUCCAAAUGACUCCUAUUGGAAAAGCGACAUGAUUUCCCAACUCUAAAGCCAUAUAAAGGGCUUUUGUAGAAAAUUUUCAAUUAUUUGACUCUAUGUAGAUCAAUUUAUUAUCCUCAUCUCUACCUUCCUUACAAUCUCAAAAGGAAAUGUCACACGUACAAUUUCCACUUUCCAAUCAUUGAGCUGCCUAGAGCAACGGGGAUCCAAUCAUUACACACUCUCUUGAGAAGUAGUUAGGAGGACUUAGCUAAAUUGGAUCAUUAGAAGAGAUGAUAAUUAUGUUUAUUCCUUGUGAAAAAAUUAAUUAUGCUUUCAUGCUUAAGGCUUUAAGGAAUAAAGUAGAUAUUGGUGGUAGAAUGAUGUUCAACUGAAAUUUAUGAAGUUUCUAGAAAUGUAUAGUUCAUUUUUCAAAUAGAAUAACAACAUUUUUUUUCUUCAUAUUUAGUUAUUUUAAUAAAAUUUUUCUUUUAUUCUUUUUUAUAGACAAAUUUUUAUCCGCAAGUUGAAAAGCGGGACCUCACACAAACUAGGCCUCGAGUGUUCAAGUUAUUUGAAUAGAAUGUUCUCUAAAUUCAACAAGAGUUCAAUAUGAGACUACCAAAAAUAUCUCAUCUCAUAGAAACUUUUUUUUUUUUUUCAUAUUUAAUUAGACUUUUAUAUAUUAAACUUAUCCCUUUGCACAACUUUAAUUUUAGAGGUCUCCAGUUGAUAUUAGAAGGAAAUGGAUAUCAACUAAUGCCAUCACUAUAUCAUAAUCAUAAUAUAUAUUUUGUGAAAGUACUUGCUAUAAUUUUUUACAAGCAAAGAUGCCAAGAUGCAUCAAGACCCCUAAAAUUAAUAUUAAAUAAUAAUAAUAUCUUGUUCAAAAGAAAGAUAAGUUAACAAAGGCAGCCACCUGAAAAGUACACAACUGUACCUAUCCACUUGUUGUGUAUUAAACAAUGUACAAAGAAAUUAGUUAUUAAGUGAUAUCUAGAAGGAGGUUUAGUUGAUUUUGUAUUCAUCAUAUUGAUAUAUUAAUAUGCAAAAAUAUCCUAUUAAAAUAUGAUAAAUUCUACAAAUCAUAUCAAAGUGCUUCAAGAUUGGAGAUCAAAGAUACCUUAAUAGAAUUAUAAAAAUGAAUAUAAAUAGACAUUUAGAUAAUAUAUUAAUAAUUAUUAUGGAAUAUAUGAUUUUAAGAUAUGACAUGUAGUCUUUAGAAAUAAUAGAUUUAUGAAUUUUUAAGAUUCAUGCUGACUCAAAAAUAAUGAUAAAAUGUUGUAAUAAUAUUCCUAAUUUUAUUAAGUUAUUAAUAUAAGAUAUUUGAAAGUUAACUCAGGAGUUAAAUAUUGUUAAAUGUCAUUAUAUUUAUGGAGAAACUAAUAGAACAAUAGAUGGUUCAGCUAAAAAUAGAUAUCUGAUGUAGAGUCUGAUUUGGAGGCUAAAUUUCUCUAAAAAUGUUAUAAAAUUUGAAUUUAAAGAUUAUUGUAGGCCAUCUUUUAAUAAAAUUCGUAAAUACCCUAUCUCAUAGUCUUUUUCUACUUGGAAAAAAACAAAAAACUAUACCAAAGUUUUACACUUGCUCAUAUCAUUUGUAUUCUAGGUUUUUUUUUUUUCUUGUAGCUUAAUUAUAUUCCUAAUACUUGUAUUUACUCUUAUUUUACCAAUAAACAAAUAAGAAUUGACAAAGACAUGAUUGGAUAUGACAACCAAAAGAUUUUCGAUACAAUCCAUUUGGGAAUGAUUCUUGCAAAGUUAAAAAUGUUUCUCUCAAGGUUAAAAGUAUUUUCCUAAGCAUUUGAUAAAAUUUAAAAAAAUCUAAAAACUGGCUUGAAGUAAUUUUUUAAAUAGCACUUGAUAAGUACUUCCAAAAAUUACUUUCUUAUUAUAAAUCCUAUUACCAAAAACACUUAAAAAAAGAAAAACAUUUUUUUAAUGUUUCUAGAAGCCUACCAAUAAAAACCGAGAACCACUCCCAACCGGCCCUUUAUCCCUCAACUGCAGAAUAUUCAUGAAGCUUACAUGCCUCCCUUGUACUUUGCUUUGUAUGUAUUUUUCUGCUAUUUGUUGGCUUGUGACCAAAAGUUAGUCCUAGGCACACUUCUUUUAGGAAUUUUAUAGUAUCUCUGGUUACUCUUUGCAGCCAAGUGGCAUUCUAUAUAUAGCUUGGACUUUAGCUUUUGUCUGUGCUCCAAUAAAUUAUAUAUAUAUAUAUAUAUAUAUAUAUAUAUAUAGAGAGAGAGAGAGAGAGAGAGAGAGAGAGAGAGAGAGAGAGAGAGAGGGAUAGAGAGAGAGAAAGAGAGAGAGAGAUCCACAAGUUGUUCAACUUUGAUAUAUACAUAUCUAUCUCAUAAAACUGCAUAUGGAAAGAAUCCCAAAUUGGGUCCACUAAUUAAGAGGCGAUGGUUCUUCAGUAUCAAGCAUGAUAGCAAAAGAUGUGCCAAGAUUUCACACUUAUUUUUUUUGCAUAGGUUAAGCUAAUUUUAUCUGGGAGAGCUCGAGCUGAAUCCAAUAUGCAGAAGAAAAUCAUUCAUCUGACUCACUAGAUAAAGGUUUAAACUCCAGUGUGGCCUUCCUCAAAGACCAUUUUCAAUGUAUAUCAUCUCAUCAUCUUCAUGGAAAAUUUCACUCUAAGUGAUUGAAGAAAGAGAGUAAUAAAAGUUACGGCUUUAUUCAUACCACAUAUGAUUUCAUGUCUAGGAUAAUCUUCUGAUAGAUUUACAAAGACAAUUGAGAAUUUGCGCAAUGCCAUGAGCAAUGAUUCGAGCACUUCUUGACUUUCUUGAGCUCUGAAAAUCACAAUGUAAAAACAGAAGGAGAAAUUUACGAAGAAGGAAAAAAAAAACAAAGAAAAGGCAAGAAAGAGAAAAAAAGAAAGAGGCCGGAGAGAGGACGAGAAAGAAAUACUUGGGUUAUCUUUGGUGCUGAUACGAUUACAUCUGUCUAGAACACAACCCAUGUUGCAGAAAUUAUAGUUGCUUACAUCGAAAUUGGAUGAAACAUGAGUACAAUUUUUCGAACAUUGCGAGGCACAAUCAAGAGGAUCCCUCUGGUAGUCACAACCAGGAUAACAUGGGGAAUAUAUAGCAUUCUAUGAUAGAGGUUGUUUGUUCUAAAAACAUCCCUAAUAUCAAACCAAUGACUAUGAAUGCCCUAACUCUUGCCUCCAUAUUCUUCUUCACAAAAAACAAUAUCUAAUUGAGUUGAGAGUAUACACGAUGUUAGUUUACAUAUUUGAAAAUAUUUGAAGUACCAUUAAUUUUGAAUAUCAAUAUUGAUUUUGUUUUUUUUUUAAUGGUGAUAUCAUGGAAUGUGAAUAAGGAAUAUGGACACAUUUAUUAUCUAUAUGGUAAAAUAUAUUUGGAAAAGAGUUUCACUUUUUGCAUCCUUGCAAUAAUAAUUGUAAUUAUGGUUUUGUUUGAUAACUGUUUUCAAAAACAGUUCUGAAACAUAGUUUUUGAGAACAAUUUUUAAAAACCGAUUUAUGAUAUUUUAUAGAACAAAAGGUUGCUUGAGAAUUUGAAAUGUUUUAAACUUUAUUUUAAUACUUUUAAAUAUGUUUUUAAAGUAAUUUUUAUAUCUAGUGCUUUAUUCUUAAUCAUUUUACAUACUUAGAAUGAUUAGUUUCUACAACAGCCCUCUAAAAACACAUGAGAACAAUAAAAAAUAAUUAAAAAAUAUUAUCUAAAAACACUUCGUUUUCUAUUUGUCAAACGUAUUUUUUUGUUUUUUCUUUUUUAAUAGUUUUGAAAAACAGUUGUCAAACAAACCUUAUAUGACUUACAAAUGUUUUACUCCUUUUUUUGGUAAAUAAUAUAUAUAUAUAUAUAUCAUUGCACAAUAUAUUCUUAUAUUGCAUUUAAUUGAUCAUGUAUUUACUUUAUUUUAUUUUGUAAUUUUCUUGAUUUAUAAUAUACAUUAUUACAAAAAUCUUGAGAAUUUGUGUACCCUUUUGCUCAUGGGUUUUACAAUUUCAUCCCAAAUUUUGCAAUGUUCACUAAUGCUCGGAUCCAUCAAUUUGAGCCAACAGCAUAGUCAUCUCUUUACUGUAUGGCAAGGGUGUCACUAUGGGAUUUUUGCCUUAGAUAUUAACUAUUUUUAUUUUUAUUUUUUAAAUAGGCAAUUAGAAAGUAGAAUUUUUUUUUUUAAGUCAAGAAUAUGUUACUUUUCCUUUUAAUUGACUUCUAAUUAACUUUUUUUUUUUUAUCUAUUAUAUGUUUGCAUAAUGAAUAUUUUAUAUAAAUUCUAUAUUUGACAAUAAAUCUCAUGAAAAUAUAAUUAUUAAUAGAUACCUUGGAUAAGUUCUUCCUCCUUGCACCCAGCCCAUUUCCUAUUUUAGAAUUCCUAUUUAUUUUUUUAAUUUUCUAAAUCUAAAUAUAAUAUUAUAUGUAAUGUAAUAUAUUUAUUAUAUUAUGUUUUAAAUUUUAAUACACAAUUAUAUAUGGAUAAAUGUAUUUAAUAAUAUUUGUAUAUAUAUGUCAUUAGAUGUGGUAAUAUAUUAAUUUUAAUUAUGUUACUAAUUUUUUUUAUAAUAACUUAUUAGGAGGUUUAUUUUUUUUAUUUUAUUUUAUUUUUUAACUUUCUUCUAAAAUUAGAAACUCAAAAACCUAUACAUUUUUUUUAUAUAUAUGUUUAUAUAUCUCUAGAAGGAACUAAAAUUUAAAUUUAUAGAGAAGGAAAACACUUUUAGAAAAUGGAAAGUUUAGAAAUAUGAAUAUUAAGUUUAUGGGGAAUUUUCGAAUCAAAGACUUUCCGAAAUUUCCACAUAUACAAAUACAUAAUUGAUUUUUUGCACACGACCAUAAUACUUAGUUGGCAAUGAUAGAAAGUGUCUCAAUUUUUUUUAAAGUAAUUUUGAUAUUUUCUUAUGGUAUAUUUUUAUAAAAAUACUUUUCUAUUAUUCUAAAGGUUCUAUUCUAAAGUUGAUAUUUUUCUAUUAGGGUAUAUUCUUAUAAGAAACUUUUCCAUUAUUAUAAAGGAAACACCCUGUUUUGAAAUUUUUUGUAUUUUAAUUAGUUUUCUAUAUGAAAUAUUCGUAUAUCAUCAAGAAAAAUAUAUGAGAGAUGUUGAUCAAAAGAGACCUUUUAAGGAUGUAAUUGAGUUUUUGGAAUUUCAGUACUUUACUAUGGUAAUUGUCACACCCUGACUAUCAACCAAUUUUUUUUACUGAGUGUGAGGUGCUAAGAGCCCUUCCUUAGCCAACCUUCCUUCCCAACCCUUAGAAAAACAAAGUAACAAGACAUAACAAUUACGGGAACCCUUCCUAACUUGUAUUAUUUCACCCACUACAAGAUACAAAAUUGUUUUCGAAAGUGUCUCAACACUUGGCCUAAGUCAGAGUACAAUGCUUAGAAUCCUUAAGCAUUCAAAGACAUAUCCCAUGCUCUCAUUCUCUAUCUCAAGGAUGCAGGAGACCCUUUUAAAAGACCCAACAUGUAGUUUACAAUUCAAAAUUCAAAAUUGAAAACCAAGGAGCCAAUCUGGUGGUUAUGCAACUGCCACAACUACCCAUAACUGCUUGCAUAACCACCCAACUAGUGAACUGCUCAUGUAACCAACUAGCUAGAGACACUCCUUCAAUCCAAGGUGUCUAUUCGCACUAGCCAUCAGCACCACAACCAUCUGCCAGUCCAUUGUAGCUGAAAUAUUGUCCUGAUUACUCACUUGUUACCACUAGCUAGCUGCCAUCUAAACCAACAACAUGCAUCAAGCAAUUGAUCAGGUGUCCGGUGCAUCAAUGUGCCUUUCUCACACUGAUAUGUGAGCCCAUGCCAUGUCGAGGUGCCCAUGGCCUAGACAUAUUGCUAGCUCCCAUUGUCAGGUCAAGCUCCACGACAACGAGCCAUGGCAUUGCGCCCAUGGUUGUUUCUUCCUGGUGCAUAAGGCAUUGCACUCUUGUGCCAUGCAUAGUCCUCAUGAGCUUGAGUCAGUUGCGUGUUUAGUGCCCUAUCGAACCAUGGCAUUGUGCCCAUGGCUUCUCCAACUGGCUUGUUGCACAAGGCUUAGGCGCCCUUGUGCCAGCGCAGGGAGGAGGUAAGUCGCACCAGGGCCCGUUCCGUUGUGGCCAUAGCGUGCACACCGCACAUGUCGUGGAGCCCAUGUGUGCGUGCUUGAGUGUCGUCUGUGUGUCUUAGGCAUGCCAAGGCCAUGCCAUGGUGCCCCAUUGAGUCACCUACCCCCCUCCCCCUUAAAGAGCAAUACAGAUCAUUCUCAAGAUGUUUGGAGAAGACAUCAUACAUGCUUGAAGAGACAUAAUGGAAUAUUUAAAUAAUUAAAAUUAUAUUUCAAAAUGAACCUCAUCCUCCAUUUGUACUAGCUCCAUAGCCAACAUAUGUCUAAUGCGUGCGCGGUGCCUACCUGGUGCGCCUGUGGUGCGCGUGCGGUGCGUGUUUGGCUCGUCCGUGGUGCGCACGCGAUGCGUGUCUGGCUCGUGCAUGGCCUCCUCAUUUAAACUCCUAGGGUUUGAACCACCAAACCUCCAGGCCAUCCUUGCUCUCCAUCCAGGCUCCCAUGGGUGUAAGGCUUGCCCAUGAGGCAUUUUUCUCCAACAUUGGGUCAAGAGGUUAAGAGGCUAAUAGUAAUCUCCUUAAAUGAUAGUAGAAGUGUUUUUUUUUUUUCAUCUUUACCAAUGGAUAUACGCUUUAGGUCAAACUAUGUAAAUUGUUGUAUGCUUUGAUUGUAUUUUAUUUUGUUCUUUUAUUUUCUUUUCCCUAUUAUUUUUCCUUGUUGUGCUUUUUUAGAAAAUGUAACUAUGGACCCUUCCCCAAUCCACCGACCGAUGCGACUCAUGAUUGAAAAUAAAAUAAAUAGAGAAAAAGUGGUUUUCGAGUUUUGGAAAAUCUGUCCCCAAUGAGGAACGCUUUUGUUUGGAGUCGCCAUUUACUUUUUAUUUUUAUUUUUGAAAUGAGGAAAAUUAUGUAAGAACAAAAACCCCUCAAUGACCUUAGUUAAGAAAAAACAGUACUUCGCGAAACUCGAUUUCUGGGUCUGGGGAUUAGGUUACCUAUUAGAAAGGUACCUCAUGCGAGGUAGCACCUUUCUAAGCCCGAAGUUCGGUCUCUACUAGUGAAUUGGGUACAUUGGAGCAUAUAAGUCAAAGAUCAGUCAAUUCUCCUCUCCCCCUUCUCCCCGGGGUACAUGGAUGACUCAUACAAUUCUAGUUGAUAUUCGACAUACAUAGGAAAUCGACAAUCAGAACAAUGAUGCGUACCUGAGGUCCCUAGCCAUGCACUGUGGAAAAUGGUGAGUCAAUAAGCAUAAGCACACAACAUAUGCAACCACCAAAUAUACUAAAAUUACUCGUAUUUCUACUUGAACUAAGAGAAUUUUCAGACAUGAACCAACCCUAUAUAUGUAACCUCUAAUCUCCACCAAACGACCACCAAGAUGCAGCCAUGAAACUUCAUUAUGUGGCUAUAAUUUAGUUAUUCCAAUUCCAUUGAUUUUCAACUGGGAAUUAACAUUUUUUUCACUGGAAUUUCAUCCAUUAACAGCCAUAAAUUCCAUAAUACUCCAUAAAAAUUCGGUUGCCAAAGAUCAAUUUUAGGCCUCUGAAUUCAUGAAAGUCGCAUGCAUGGAAACUUAAAAUUUAAAUUUGGAAUUUUGGAAAUCUUGUAAAUUUUGGAAAUUUUGGAAACUUUGGAAAUGGAAACUUAAAAAAUUAAAUCUGGAAUUUUGGAAAUUUUGGAAAUGGAAACUUAAAAAUUAAAUUUGGAAUUUUGGAAACUUUGGAAAUGGAAACUUAAAAAAUUAAACCCGGAAUUUUGAAAUUUUGUAAACUUUGGAAAUGGAAACUUAAAAAUUAAAUUUGGAAUUUUGAAAAUUUUGAAAAUUUUGGAAACUUUGGAAAUGGAAACUUAAAAAAAUAAAUCCGGAAUUUUGAAAAUUUUGGAAACUUUGGAAAUGGAAACUGAAAAAAUUAAACCCGGAAUUUUGGAAAUUUUAGAAACUUAAAAAAUUAAAUUAACAUUUUAGAUACUAUGCACUAUAUUUAAGUAUGGAAAUUAAGACACUUACAUGUUAACAAUUUCCUUAAGAUCAUCAUAUGGUUGCUUUUGCAUUGGAUCAACGUAGUAUGCAGUCAUUGUCCUCAUAUCCAAUGUCACCAAGACCCAAUGGAAACUACAAUAGUAAUUAGAUAUUAUUUACUAAUUAGCAUUGAUUAAGCUAUUUAACAUAAAAAAAAACUUUAUAUUUUUCAUAACUUACUCAGGGUUAUAUGGAAUAAAAUGUAGUCAGCACGUUUUGCAUGCAUUAAAGGAUUUGCAAUCAACCUUGACUUAUUUUCCUUUGUUGUCUCACCCAUUCCAGCUUUAGAGACUAAAGCUGGAUUGAUAAAAACAAAUCGUUCGGCAGCCUAGCAUCACUUAGCUUUUUUUGCAGGUGCCUAUUUAAAUUCCACAUACCUUGAUAAGAAAUGAAUAUUUUAAUUAUAUAUAUAAAUUAACACAUAUUAGCAAGUUAUAAAAUUAUUUACCAUAUAUAAUAUAUGACACAAUUAGAUGACACUUCCUUGAAUAAAAUUAUCAUAUCCAUGUCUUAUUUCAUAAGGAAGGUCUUAAAACUCUUGCCAAAUACAUCAUUUAGGACUUCCACACCUUGUGUUUUCCCCUCUUUUAGCAUGAAACCUACUAAUGCAUCAAAAUUCUUGAUAUCUUAAGGGUUUUCACCAUUUUUCAAUUCAUUUUCUUUUGUUUUUUGUCUUUUCCCUUUUUGAGAUCCUUAUAAAAGAAAGCACCAUGUUUUCAAAUGAUAUCUGUCUCUUUAUAAACUAUUGCAAAUGAAAAUAACACACCUGUAUGAAUUUAGUACUCAAAUUGACUAAAUAGGUUGGCCAUAAAACUUGGUAGCCCACUGCUGCUCCAACUAUUAUAGCUUGACCAGGAAUAGGAAUAGGAAGUGGUGUAUUUGACUCAUAGGGAGCAUCCAAAACAACUAGGUAGUUGGGACCACAAUCCAUCACAAUUGUUCCACCAGCCAUUGUAUUUUCCCUGGUCCCUACCGCCAACUCACAUUUUCUUGCCUUCAAAAUUAAAUUAAAUUGUUAAUUUCAAUAUAAAAAAAUAAUCAAUAAUUGAAGUUUAAGGUGCAUUGACUAUGUUAGGGCUAUAUUUAAGACAUAAAGUUACAUCUUUUAUAAGUACUAGUUGUAGUGGAAUAGAAUAUUACUAGUAUUAAUUAUACUAUAAUAGAAUCUACCUAAAAUGCAAGUAUCAAUCUAACAAAAAUAUAAGCAAUUGGAAGAAAUUAUUUAUGAAAAUUAUAUAGGAAUUUGUUACAAUUACGUCAUUGAACUAGGAAAUGUAAACUGAAAAUAACACACCUUCAUGUGUGGUUCUAUUUUCACAGGUAAGGUCUCCUCCUCAACUUUACAAAUUGGUUUCUCCACUACUUCUAGUAAGAGCAACAGUUUUGAUUUCAUGUUGGAACUACUCACAUCAGAUUGUGGUGUAGCAACUCCUAUUUGAGAUAGUUUCGCUAACACAUCAGCCUCAAACUUAACUUGACGUUCUUGAGUUACUUUUAAAAUAUCCUUCAUAACACGUUCUGACAUACUAUUGAAAUAUUGUCGAGGCGUGUAGUGCUUCCCUUUAGCCCAAACAUGACCAGUAUACUCGGGAGUACCUAGUGCUUGAGCAAGUAUGUCAUUGCUCCCAUUAUAGCUUAUGCCACUCUCUUGAGACUCUUUCAUCAAUUCAUCCUAAAAUAUGAUGAAGUUAUGAAGCUAACUUUGAAAUAGGCAAAACCAAAUAAGGUGUUUAAAGAUGUGAUUUUUGGGUACAAAAUGUCUACUUACUAUCUUUUCCACCACUAGUAUGACCACAUCAUCAUAGUUGCCAUUUUUUUUUUUUUUUUGCAUUACUCUCUUCCAAAGUAAACUCCUAUCAAUACCGCAUUGAAAACAUACAAUUAAUUAGUAGUGUUUUUGGUAGGUGACAAUAAGAAUAAAAAUAGGAUAAGAAUAGAGGUGAAUCAUAAUCCCAUGUAGAAGUAGAGAAGGCAAUAAGAGAUGGGUUCCAGAUGGGAACACCCAUAUAUCGACUCUAUUUCAAUUAUUUAAAUAUAUUUUCAUUUCUAUCUCAAAAAAUAAAAUAAAAUGAAAUAAAUCGGGUGUGGUGGGCAUGAGAAAUCCCAUUUAAUUUUUUUUCAAUUUUUAAAAAAUUUUAGAUUACAUAAAUUUUUUUUAUAAAUAAAUAAAUAUUAUAUAAAAUUUUAUAAUUCAUUUAAUAAAAAAAUAAUUUUUGAAAAUUUUAUUUAGGAAAAUAAAAAAGAAAUUAAAUUAAAUUAAAGGACAACUAGUUAUUUUUGAAGAUUUUUAAGGAAAGAGAGGAAAAACCCUAAAAUCCACAGGACCUCCAAUCGAAUCCUUAUAGAGGCAUACCUCCCUUGAGGCCACCUCCUUUUUAAAGCUUAAGGAAACUUGGGGUCGACCCAUACUUAAAAAAUUCCCCCCUCUGCAACCCGAUUACAAUCAGGCUAAGCCCAUGUCUUUUGGACUUGGGGCCUUCCCCAACCCUUGACUGCCCAACAAUUGAGAUUCAAACCUAAGCCCACCAGAGAAACUUUUAAAACCUGUCUCUUCCAAACACAUCAUUCCUUUUCCAAUUGUUCCCUUCUCAAUACCGCUUACAAAAUCUCCUGAUUCUGCAGCUUUCUCAACUAUUGCAGCCUCACCUAUCUAAUCCUUGGCGUAUGGACAUGGGACGUCCAUAUCUAUAGACAGCAGAGGUUGCACCUCCUUUCCCACCCCUGUGUUGAUGCAUGAGCCACCCACCAUAUUAGCCCUAACCUCCAUCUCACCAUGCUCACUGCUACAUCUUCUUAGCACAACUAGCCAAAAUAACAGGGUGACACUUCCCACCACAAUUGAAAGGAGAAGCUGGAACUACCUACUACAAUUUGCAACGCACCAGGCAUAUUGCUUCUAUAGAUGUUAUUUACACUAGGCAUUUGGUUAUUUACGCUAUUAUACAACAACAAGAACUUUUAACUGAUAAAGAAAAUUUGGAAGCGGUAUAAUUUGUAGUCAUUUUUUCAAAGAAAGAAACAAGAAAACAAAACACAACUAAUAACUCCACAUACUAGGGGAGUAAAAACAAAAAGAUAAUUUGGGUUAUUACUAAACUCCAACUUCUAUUCAAGAUUUAAGAUUUUUUAUUGUGGAUGAUCAGUUUACAAAACUGGCUUAGAACAAAAUAAAUUUCACCCAACCCAAUGGAAAAUAUAUAAAAAAAAUUGCAAAUCAAGUGUUCAAGUGAAAGAAAACAAGGCUAGAUUCAGACAAGUAAUAAUCAAGUAAAUAUAAGCAUGAGAGAGGAGACAUCUAUUACACUGGUUGGGAUGUAGCCAAUGAUGAGAAUAAAGAUAAAGAUAUGCAAUCAUACUAGUUGGUACAAUAAUGGUCAUCCAUGUGGCACACUGCAAACAAGAAGAUGAGAACAAGAAAUUACUUUUUGAGCAUCGGUACAUAUGAAUAUUUCAAAGAAAAAAAUUGAACUCGUCAUUUAAAAGAAAUUGAAAAUAGAUUUUGUAGAACUAAACUGAUCUUUGAGAGGGGAAGAAGAAAACAGAAAUUUGGGCAAUGAUGGAAAACUAGCAUGCUGCUAGCCCCACCCACCCAAAUAUGAUCAAACUACAACACAAAGCAAGCCAUUCCUCUUCCAUCUGGUACUGCAAACCACUACUCCCCCUUCCCCCUCCACCCCCAAACGAAAAAAUCCAAUGGAAGUAGGAUUGAAUGGUACAACAAGUAGUCCUUCAAAGUGGAGAAAAUAAGUUCAUAAACCUUGAAUUCUUCCACUCCUUCCAAAUUACACCAUAUAAUAUAGAAAACAGAGGUUGUUUCUAAACUACAACACCAAUCAAUCAGAAUUUCAUGCCACCAUCCACUAGAAAUCAAUAGUCAUAGAUGACAACAAUUCCAAUGAAUUCUAAUAAUUUGUUGAAUAAGAAAUCUUCUUCCUUAUUAUUUCUCACAUCUUUGUCUGCUCUUAAAAAUAUUAAACAAGUUUCUGCUCAAACAUCAUCAUCCAAGAAAUAAAACAGAGGAGCACACCCACCCUGCCCAAAAUCCUACCACUCACCCAGCCAAAUUUGGGAUACCAUCUCCUUGAUUUCGUCCUCCGAAAAUAGUUUCCCCAUCUAUGAAACAAAAAUAUCAAAUAUUUGGAACAAUGAAAACCCUUCCAUUUGUCUUCAUCCAUACUAAUCUAUUCAAGUAUGAGGAAAACAACAUUAGUUGAGAAAGACAUUUACCCGUAACUAUGAUGCUCUAUAGUAGAUUUUGACAAUGGUGACCUCCCAUGGAAGUUAGACAUGGACAUUCCAACGGAUUAGGGCAUUUAGUGGUGGACUUUGCAAGAGGAAUGGAUUUUAGCAACUGAUGUGGAGUCAAAUGAUUUAAGGCAUUGCAGAUUUCACUAAUAAUGAAAGCAUUAGGGCAACUUAAUAAUGGAUGAAGCAAAGGUUUCUCACCAUGCUGGUUACUUAUGAAGCAAGGGUCUUUACAAAAAAUGCUAUAAUCUGAGGAGAACACUAAUGUUUAUAGAGAAACCCGGGAACAAGGUUAGCUUCGAUAGACAAAGUUGGGGUUCAGGAUAAUGGCUUUGCGGUAAGUCUUCGACAACUCAUGAUUCGGUCAUCGUUCAUUAGUUUAUCUUAGUGAGAGUUCUAGGGUUUCGAGGUUUGUUGAGGUCUGAAAUGGUGGAGGGAAUGUUUGGCGGGUACUCAUAGAAAGAGAAAAACUUUUAAUUAAUAUAUAUUUGGAACACACACACACACACACACAUAUAUAUAUAUAUAUAUAUAUAUAUAUAUAUAUAUAUAUUAUUUAAUGUCACCUGAUAUAAGUGUCAAUGUAAAAUAUCACAACUAUGACACUACUAUAAAGCAUCAUGACAUAACCAAUUAUUCUUAUAAAGGUCACAUUAGGCAAUGAUACUUUAAAUAAGUGCCAUGAAAUAAAUAAAUAAAUAACUACUGUAAAAAAUGACCCUUUUGAAAAAUGCCAUUGUAUAUCCCAAUAUAACGAUACUUUAUGAAAGUGCCAAGGAUUAAAGAGUCAUAAUUUUCUAUUUUUGUAGUAGUGUAAAUUAAAGGAAAGCCAACUUUCUUCCAUCAAUUCACAAAAAAUAAAUAAAUAAAAUCAUCUCAUCCAUUUUAAAAGAUACACAUAAUUUGAUCUUUAGAUAUUUUAGGUAACAUGCAAUUGUCUAUUUGUUUUUUCAUUUGCUAGUAGAUAUUUGAAAUCUUUUUCAUAUCAUGUUAUUGUUAUGUUGGGCGAUCAAUUUUCUAAAAAGUUUAAAUUUAUAGGAUUUAGGCUUGUAAUGUAUAUCAUGCUCUCCAACAUCCUUCUUUGUCUCGUGAGGUCCAUGGACUUACAUGUGGUUUCAAUAAAUUGACAAAAUAAAUAUACAAAAAAGUUUGAAUACGAGACCUACCAAAUAAGGCUUCUAUAAUCUUGUCUUUUAAUGAGGAUUAAUGGCUCCAUUAGUGAAUUGAUUAAUAAAAUUGUUAGUUGGGUAAUGAACAUGGUAAAUUAGCUUAAAACUAGCUUAAAGGUGAUUGAAAAUAGUUGAAAUUCUUUGCAUGCAACACCAAUAGUUAUACAAGCAAGAAGCUUAGUCAGCUGCAUCCUUAAUUUUGUGCAUUUGAAAAUUCAACUAACUUUUUCUAUUUAUUUGUCUAUUAUAGAAGUCAUUUGUAAUCUUAAGAUUCAUUUGAAAAGGGGUUGGAAUAAGUGUUAUAACCUAGUGACUAGUGAAACACUUAGAGUGCUUCAUAAUUAGACACCUAGUAGUAUCUUAAUAAAAUCAACUAGUUACUAGCUUCAACCUCUACUUUUCAUAUGAAAACUUAAAUACAUGAGAAUGGAGAACAAUAACAAAUUUUCUCUAAAAACUAGAGUUAGAACUGAAUGGAAACCAAAGGAAACAAAGUUGAAAGUUGAGGACAUGUACUUAAAUUACUUUAUAAGUAAAGAAGUUUCGAUUUUAAAACCCCUAUUUUCUAAUAAAUUUGGGAAUUGAAAAUCUAAUAUUUAAUUGAUAUUUUUAAUGACACCUAAGUUGUCAAAUAAUUUAACAUGUUGGAUUAUGCAUGUGUGAUGAUAUUUUGACUAUCUAUGAUGAUUGAAUGAAUAGCAUGAUGAUUGAUAUGUUGAGACUUGUUACUCAUGGUGGAGAUAUAUUAUGUUACAUUAUGAUACUCUGUUUUGUUGGAACUAAUCUAAUAAGUAGUACAAGCAAUAUGGAAAGUGUUGAAGGCACUAAAAUUUUUAAUUCUAAGGCACCAUGAUAGGUGACCUGAAAACAAAUAAUAGGGAGGAAUGAUUGAUCCCUAGGUGAAAGUCCCAAAAGGAAAAUGGUGACGUAUUCUAAGGCAAAAAAUGCAAAACAUCUCCACGAAGAUCCAUGAGUAGAUAUAAUUGGUAGCAUAAACAUAUAUCCUUAGGUAAGAGUUCCUCAAAUACAUGUGUUAUGGCUAUAAAAGAAGUGUUAUUGGUACGCUACAAGGAAGCCCUUUGAAAGGCAUACGUGAGUUAAAAAUGAGUUAUUGGUGAUAUACAUUAUCUAUUGAUGGAAAUUCAUGUUUUUAUACAAAUUUUGGUAUGUUGCUAUUGAAGAAUAUUAAAACACUAUUUUAAAAGCCUUUUUUGCUAUACUUUUCUCUGAGUUUUAGCUCACCUUUUAUUUUUCAAAAAAUAAUUUUUACGACCAAGAAAUGAAGAACACUUGAAAAUUUUAUGAAGCUUGAAAACUUGGUAUUGGUUAUAUUAAAUAUGUUUUAUUAUAUAUUUGAGGGGUUUUUUUUUUUUUUGCUAAGCUAGGUGGUAGUAAAUAAAAUGAACAAAGGGUUGUACUUAUGACUAUGUAAAAACAACCAUGGUUUUAAAAACUGGACCGGACCGGUCGGUCAUGGUUCUGAUCUGGUCAAUUAGCCUGGAAAGA